CUGCCCCACGAGGGAGGGAGCGGGCGGGGGCCGCGGCUGAGGGGAAGCAGCGGCAGCGGCACCGGGCCCGGGGCGGCGGAAUGACGAGCCCGGGCGGAACCUGCGCGACACCUUUAUGAGCUCAGCGAGGAGAUGGCGGCGGCGGCGGAGCCCUGCGCGCCCGCCGGCUGCAGCGCCCCCUGUCGCCUGGGAGGACUCUCUACACCCCCUCGGUCCCUCACGCCGCGACCCCGGCCCGGGCGGCGCCUCCGGCGGGGCCGAAUCACCCCGCGUGACCCGGCGGGGCGGGGGGCAGUCCUGUGGAGAAUCCCGGUGGAAAAAUAUCGAUAAACAGAAUUUUGGCAAUACACAAGACAGCCCAGAGCCUAUGGAUAGAAAAAGGAAGUUGUGGAACUGGCAUGAACAAAACUACAAGACUGCAAAACAUCCAUCUUUAGGACACAUGUGAAAGACAGAAUGGUGAUUUCCAUGAAGUUCAGCAGUCUGCCUGCUGGUCAUGCACCACAGAGCCUGAAUGAAAGAACCCCUCACAAAGCUCACUUGGACAUCGUGCCUGCAGUCACAGGACACUGUCAGAGCAGAUUCCCAGCAGCUGGGAAAAAAAAAGUGCAAUGCUGUGGGUCAGAAGUGAAACUGGGUGGGUGUGGGCAUCUAAGUUCCUUCUAAAGUAAUCAGAGCAGUAGUAGGAGCAAUAAUGAAUUGCCAUGGGGGGAUCUGCUAAGUGUCAAUAUGAAUGUCAUCCUUUUUUCUUCUCCAAUUGUUGUCUCAUUGCCUGAUGGCAACAGGUUGUUGAAAACUGCCUGACUGAAAAUAUGCUGAAAUAGCAUCACAUGAUAUUUGAGAGAGGAAUUAAAUAUUUAACAUAUAUUUUUACUGCAAAAGAAACAUGAAAGAAAACUGAAUUGUGCUCUGAUAUUAUAAACAGAAAAUGACAGGGGAAUAAUUCAAAUCUAAACCCAUCACCUCCCUCGUUAUGAAAACCUAAUCAAAUUAUAAAAGUAGCUCUCCCAAGCUCAUUGCCACAGUUGUUGCUCAAUCAGAAGGUCUGUGUAAUGGUAGAGGAAACCUUCAGACACACUUUUAGAUUAGGCAACUAUGUUUUUCCUGAUGGACUAUAAAAAAAUUUUAUAAACAUUUCCACUUCCCAUCACUUGAAAUUAAAGAGAAUAAUUUCCAUUAACUUUCAACUAGCUCAACUAUGGAAGCCAUUCUCUCUCUGGAGUCUUUUCCUUCUUAAACAUGCUCUGAUGUUGGACUGAUUUUUCACAAAUUGUUUCGUUCUGUUGUCACCCUAAACACUGAGCUUUUUGCCAGUAACUUGAAGGAUAAAGCUGUGCCUCCUAGUGCUACUGUAAUAACCACUAAAGUAACUGUAUUUCUUUAGUUAACCACCAGAAGUUUUAGACAAAUCCUUGCCCUCUGGUGGUGGAAAUGCUUCCCCUGGUUGAUCCUCCUCUAGCAUGAUUAAUUCUGUGACACUUCCUUAGUUUCAAAAGUAUUUUCUUAAUUUUGCAGAACUGCCUUUGUGGAGGAGAUACUCCACAAGAACAGGUUUCAGAAUGUUAUCUUUGAACUCCAAUUACUCUGAAUUUUCUCUCAUAGGAUUAGGUCUAAUGUAGGCAGUGGUGCUCCACCUGUGUGCUUCCUUCAGCCUUCAGGCACACUAAUUUUCACUCCACUUGUCUUCAUUGUUUGACCUGGCAAUAUCCCCUGCAUUACCUCAGAGAUGUUCAUCCCAAAUCUGGAUACAUCCCCACAAAUCUGCUCAACAUGGCAGUGGGUCUCUCCUCACUCACUACCUGCUAUGUGGCACCAUUCUCUAGCCAUGGUCAAAUAAGUGAGAGCAGAACAUUUUAAAGCUUCCAAACUUCAUGACUUCAGAAACUGGUAUCCUGCACCAGUCAGGAGUAUUUAAUUUCUCCCUUCUCUGAGGUUGAAAAAUUGAUAGGAGCACUUUUCCUCCCCACCCACGUGCGUGGUACAGCCUACAAAAAGCCACACACACACUGGCAUUGACAAACUGAAAAUUUGAUUCAAUACUUGGCUUAAUAUGUGGGAAUCAUGAAACUAUGGAACCUCUUGUCAGGAGCAAAGGCUACUGAAACAACUUGCAUUAAACAGUGUUAAGUUUCUUUGAAGGCAGAUAUCAAAACAUUGUUUCAGAACUUUUUUUUUGCAAGUUGCAUAUUUUUAGUAUCAGAAAUGCUACAUAAACAUUGGCCAGGUAAUUUAAAUUACUAUUGAAAAAAAAAUUAAUAGAAACACCUACUUACUGAUGCAAUUCAUUUUGGUUUCCUAUAUAAAGUAACAAAAUCAGGUGCUUUAAACCAAAAUGGUGGCUUCAGGACAAAGAGAACUAAACUAAAAAAGUCAGGUAACAACUUAUCUAGAAAUGUUACUUAUCUAAAAAGUAAGAAAAACAAAUGUAUGUCUGAUUUAUAUAAGCAUCCCAGACAAAGAGAAAACACAGGACUGCAGACCUAUUGAGAUGCCCCUUAAAGCACAUUGAAAAUUCAAUGAAAUUUUAAUCUCAUUGCAAUUAAAUGCAAAAUUCCUCCAACACCAAUAAAAUCAAGAUUUCUUCUGAUAAAGAACAUUGGAGUGAGCACAACUGGCAAUGAACAGUUCCAGAGGUAAAGGAUAAAUUUUAAUUUCCAUAACAGAAAAGUGAGUUCUGUAAUUGUCCCCAGCUGAAGCAACAGGAACAAAAGUUUUAAUGUGUGCAAAAUUAAUAUGUUUGAUUAUAAACUUAUAAGUUAAAGAACACAGUCCCCAGCACAGCUGCCACAGACUGGCAGAAGCAUUACACUUAUUACACAGAAAUAGAAAGGGAUGAUGAUGUUUACCUUCUCCCUGGAGCUCCCCUUUUCCCAAAGAAGAGCAGCCCAGUUUUUAUGUGCACCACAAGAGCUGCAUUGCAGUGUGCCUGUGAUUUAGGAAUCACCAAGAGCCUUCAAUAAUGCUCUGAUUCUAUCACACAGAGCAGCUGUUCCCACUCUGCAGCCUCAAACUACAGCAGGGGCUAUUUACUGACCAACUGGUGAGCACUUCAUCUUUAGUUUCUUAGGCAAGCUGAAAAGGGAAAAAUAUGCAAAACUAGUGCCAUUACAUCUGGGGAAUUGAUUUAGAAAGAAAAAACCAAUCUGUCCUUGGUGAGAAGUGUUUGCUACUUGACACUAAAUGAAUCUCUCAAUAUUAAACUUCAAAGCUCUGAUGUAAGAGAACCCAAAUAGUUCAGAGCCUCUUUAAAGUUGCCACAGCACUCAGUAAAGUUAAGGACAAGGAAAAGUAGGGCUCUUCUUAUGUUCCUGUACUGCAUCAUCCCCUCCUUCUGCCCUGCAAAACACAAUGAGAACACAUCUUUUGAUGUUUUGAAUUCUUCAUGGCUUUGUAUAGCAGCAUAACACCAGAGCACCUCAUUUAAAUUUUUGAUUUAUCAUAAAUCCCAAGAGAUUGUUAUAAGAAGUAAAAAAUGUCAUAAACCAGUAAAAGCUUUAACUUUUCACCAGCAACUUCAAACUCUGAAUUAACACAGAUAUAACUUGAAAUGAUUGUGUUUUUAUCUCCUGCCUUUAAGUCACAGCAACAAUUCACACUGGAUUUACCUAACAUUUGGAGAAAAAGCAAGUCUAGGUAACUAGUGUUUCCUAGUGUUUAGUGAGUUUACAAAAAUGUAAUUUUUGUAACAAUAAUCUAGUUCUUCAAUGGGUUGCCAGAAUAAAAUGUCCCAAUUCCUUUCUGUCAGUCAUUAUUGACACUGCUCAAUCUAUUGUCUCUCUGAAAGAUAAAUAAAAUGUGACAGUGAAAAGAACAACCACGAGGAGACAUAAAUGCACUUGUACUCAGCACCAAUGCAAGCAGCUCACAAAUAACUUUUCAGACAAAACUGCCAUGGAAUUUCAUGAACAAUGUUUCUGAGCUGCCAUUUUCACCACACUUUAUAGCUAAUGAUUUCUGUAGGUCUGACAAAUCUUUUAACUAUGCUAUGGUUUAUGGCUACUGAUUCAAAAAACAAGGAAAAAGGUUAGUAACCUGAAGAAUAUGAAUGAUCCCACUAGCACAGCUGUAGAUCCUGAUGAGUGUCAGAAAGCACAGAUAUGAUAUAAAAUGCUUUUCUGAGCUUCAGAAACUUGAAAAUAGGACACAUUUUCUUAUAAAAACUCCUUUUUCAGUCAACACCUCUAUAAAAACCCAGUCCUUUGUUUCCAUGUCCCCUAAUUGUCUUUUCAUUUGAUCUCAAUACAUUCCAUACAUGUGCCACUCAGUAAACUGAUUUAUCUUGCAUCACUCAGCUUUUACCAGCACAGUAUUCCACUUCUCCUAGGAUUUAGGCCCACAUUCCAAACAAUAAAGCCAAAGGAAGGAGAUCUUAAUUAUUUUUAAAGGUAAACUGAGUGAAAUUUGCUUCUCCAUCUCAAAAUACAUAAAUACAUAUAUAAAAGCAGUAGGUAACUUUGGCUGUAAAAAACCCACCUUCACUAUUGUCCUUUUAAAAUAGGUAAAGAGCAAUAACCUCAUCUGGAAACUAAAAAUAGCAUGAGUAAUUUUACCAUCUUUUCACUUUUUGCUCUUAUUCCCCUGGAAUAUAGUGACCUUAUUGGCUUUGCUUAUGUAAGUGGUAAUAGAUUGCCUAGCUGGAAUUUUUCAUUUAACACAAGCAAUUUUGUGCAGAUUCUCUGCUGGGCCGAUCUUUCUGCCCUCCUUUUUGCAUUGCAGCUCUCACUGGUGUGACCUCUCAGCCAGGGGCAGCAGGAAGGUCUGGCUGCUCUCCAGCCACAUCCACCUUUGACACUGGCUGAGAUGCAGGGCACUGAGUGCUGCAGACACUCAGGGGUCACACACAGGCUCCUCCUGCCCCAGAACACCAAUAAAUCUGUUUCCACUGGGUUGACAGAGCCAGCACUCUCUGUCACAGCACAGACCUGCCCAGCAGCUGCAGCCAGGACCUUUGGCUGCCAAGAGUCCUUCCCUAAAUCCAACUUGUGGGCCAAAGGCAAAGGACGUGUUGCAAUGGACAGCACUAUCAGACUUGGAUCAAUGGCUGAUCCUGACUCUCCCCCUCCUGUUAGUGAAGGCACAUCCAUUUACCUGGUGUCUUCCUUCACAAUUAGUGAUCACAAUGGGAUAAAGCAGGAAACACUUCUGAACAUCCAGCUUCUUAGUCCUACAUCCGACUUCUUCUUUGCAGGGCUCAGACAAGUUUGUAAUAAACACUCUCUCCUUUUUUAAGCAAAUUACUCCGAAAUAGCCACAGCUCUCACACAUCUGUUGCCCUCUGGUAGACAUGCUGAGUUUCUAUGACAUUUAACAGAAAUAUCAUGCAGGUACCAGAAUUAUUCCUAAGUGUCUUUCCAUUCAUUGGGACUUACAGUAAAACAGCUACAGAUGUUGCAAACAAGACAAACACUGAUUUCACUGAAUCCAAUACUUCAGUCAUGAGACUGCUUAAAUGAAAGAACAUGGACUAAACAGGAAAAGUACCAAAAAGAAAAAAAAAGAGAAAAAAAGAAAAAGCUUAUCUUAUAGCCUAUAAUGAAAUCAUGUUCUCCAAUUUCUUUAGGUUCAGGCCUUCAUGAUCCUUAUUUUCACCUAUUUCACAUUUUGCAAUAGAGGCAUUUUUACAAGUUUUAAAAAUCUUUCAGAGCGUGCUCCAACAAUAGAAACCAAUGUGCAUGGCAAAUAAAAUUUGGAUGAAAGCAGUGAGACCUCAGAGUUUGAAUCCUCAGCAGUGUCAGGAUCAUCACACCUGAUGGACACAUAGAUCCAGAUGCAAUCCAAAGGCUGAUGUAACAAAUCUUAAUUCAACUCAGCUUAUUAACAAUCCUCUCCAAGCAAUCUCCAAGGAAGCAUUCAUGAAAGCUGUUUCUGUACAGUGAGACUUUGUCACAUGUUAUUAAACAUCACUAAAGAUGGUCUCCUGUGACGUACAGAAAAACUUCUCAGCCAAAAGGCAAAAAUUCAGAUUAAGGGCACUUCUGUUACAUUUGGGAAAAUAAGCAAACGUUAAACAUUGUGCAAAAGGAAAAGACUUUAUUUAACACCAUAUAUGAUUUGGAAGUUUCAAGCACUGAAGACCAGAACAACAAACUGUAUUUUGCUUUUCCAAAUACAUGCUAUAUUCAGCACGGAAGCCAUUGAUUUUUAAGCUACACCAGAAAUGUCUUCUAGCAUCUAGUUACUGCUGAUUGCCUUUUCAGCUGCCAAUUCUUGUUUGGGUUUUGAGUAAUCCCAAGGUCUCCUGUUCUCUGUGUAUCCAUAGAGCUUCCGCAGUGCCACUCGAGCAGCCUCCUCCUCUGCAGCCAGCAGUGUUUCACCAGGGCCUUCAGCUAACAUCUUCUUAUCACUUGAGGAAAAAAACCAAAGUCACAACCAUGAAAAUCCAAAGUUUCCAUCAUAAAACCCUGAGCACUGCUGUGUACUGUGACUAAAACAGACUGUUGUUUCUCCAAUGUCUUUGAACACUGAUUUCUGUAUACACACAAUGGAAACAUUUCUGUUGGUCUUUCCUGCAAAGGUACUGUCAAACGUCUGCCAACCUCCCUGGAUCUGUCCCCAUGCAGGUACAAACCAGCAUUCAUUGAACCUACCCUGACAAAGAGCCCGGUUCUCUCGGGCCCGCUGCUUUCCAGCAGGGCUCCUAUCACGGC